AUGAACGCUAGCUACAGGCUUAACACAUGCAAGUCGAGGGGCAGCAUGAACUUAGCUUGCUAAGUUUGAUGGCGACCGGCGCACGGGUGAGUAACACGUAUCCAACCUGCCGAUGACUCGGGGAUAGCCUUUCGAAAGAAAGAUUAAUACCCGAUGGCAUAGUUCUUCCGCAUGGUGGAACUAUUAAAGGAUUUCGGUCAUCGAUGGGGAUGCGUUCCAUUAGGUUGUUGGCGGGGUAACGGCCCACCAAGCCUUCGAUGGAUAGGGGUUCUGAGAGGAAGGUCCCCCACAUUGGAACUGAGACACGGUCCAAACUCCUACGGGAGGCAGCAGUGAGGAAUAUUGGUCAAUGGACGAGAGUCUGAACCAGCCAAGUAGCGUGAAGGAUGACUGCCCUAUGGGUUGUAAACUUCUUUUAUACGGGAAUAAAGUGAGGCACGUGUGCCUUUUUGUAUGUACCGUAUGAAUAAGGAUCGGCUAACUCCGUGCCAGCAGCCGCGGUAAUACGGAGGAUCCGAGCGUUAUCCGGAUUUAUUGGGUUUAAAGGGAGCGUAGGCGGACGCUUAAGUCAGUUGUGAAAGUUUGCGGCUCAACCGUAAAAUUGCAGUUGAUACUGGGUGUCUUGAGUACAGUAGAGGCAGGCGGAAUUCGUGGUGUAGCGGUGAAAUGCUUAGAUAUCACGAAGAACUCCGAUUGCGAAGGCAGCCUGCUGGACUGUAACUGACGCUGAUGCUCGAAAGUGUGGGUAUCAAACAGGAUUAGAUACCCUGGUAGUCCACACAGUAAACGAUGAAUACUCGCUGUUUGCGAUAUACAGUAAGCGGCCAAGCGAAAGCGUUAAGUAUUCCACCUGGGGAGUACGCCGGCAACGGUGAAACUCAAAGGAAUUGACGGGGGCCCGCACAAGCAGUGGAGUAUGUGGUUUAAUUCGACGCAACGCGAAGAACCUUACCAAGGCUUGACAUAUACAGGAAUAUAUAAGAAAUUAUAUAGCUCUUCGGAGUCUGUAUACAGGUGGUGCAUGGUUGUCGUCAGCUCGUGUCGUGAGAUGUUGGGUUAAGUCCCGCAACGAGCGCAACCCCUGUUUCCAGUUACCAGCAUGUAAAGAUGGGGACUCUGGAGAGACUGCCGGUGGUAAAUCGGAGGAAGGUGGGGACGACGUCAAAUCAUCAUGCCCUUUAUGUCUUGGGCUACACACGUACUACAAUGGCUAUAACAAAGAGAAGCGAAAUAGCGAUAUGGAGCAAAACUCAAAAAAAUAGUCUCAGUUCGGAUUGAAGGCUGAAAUUCGCCUUCAUGAAGCUGGAAUUGCUAGUAAUGGCAGGUCAGCAUACUGCCGUGAAUACGUUCCCGGGCCUUGUACACACCGCCCGUCACACCAUGAGAGUUGGAAAUACCCGAAGCCUGUGAGCUAACAAACGAGGCAGCAGUCGAAGGUAGAGCCAAUGAUUGGGGUG
rnacentral:rRNA from 1 species